rnacentral:rRNA from 1 species
UACGUAGGGCGCAAGCGUUGUCCGGAAUUAUUGGGCGUAAAGAGCUCGUAGGCGGUUUGUCGCGUCUGCCGUGAAAAUCCGGGGCUCAACCCCGGACUUGCGGUGGGUACGGGCAGACUAGAGUGUGGUAGGGGAGAUUGGAAUUCCUGGUGUAGCGGUGGAAUGCGCAGAUAUCAGGAGGAACACCGGUGGCGAAGGCGGAUCUCUGGGCAAUAGCUGACGCUGAGGAGCGAAAGCGUGGGGAGCAAACAGG